AUACGGAGGGUGCGAGCGUUACUAGUCACUGGGCGUAAAGCGUCCGUAGGCGGUCGGGUAAGUCGGGUGUGAAAGCCCCGGGCUCAACCUGGGAAGUGCACCCGAUACUGCUCGACUCGAGUGCGGGAGAGGAUGGCGGAAUUCCCGGUGUAGCGGUGAAAUGCGUAGAGAUCGGGAGGAACACCAGUGGCGAAGGCGGCCAUCUGGCCCGCAACUGACGCUGAGGGACGAAAGCGUGGGGAGCAAACAGGAUUAGAAACCCUUGUAGUCC
rnacentral:rRNA from 1 species